CCAGAUUCAGCCACCAGCCUUGGAUUCAGAGGAGAAAUGGUAGAACACGGAUGAACUGAGCUGUUGAGUUCUGCCGAACCCCAGAAUCCAGCAAACACUCUCACCUACUCUGACUCAAAUAUGUUUACUGCCUCUUCUAAGGCUUGAGAGCUGUGCAACAGCAUUGGUGACAAUCAAGAUGAUGCUGCUUGUCAACACUAAGCCAAAACAGAUUAUUGUGAUGAGGGAAUCAAAUCUCUCCGAAGACAAUCAUGAAAUCUGACACCAUAGACUCCUGCAGCCUCUCUUGUUAUCAAUCAGCUGUGGGUUAAAUUCUCUCAGAGAAGAAAGUAAUCAAAGUUUAUUUCAGAGUGCAUUAAGAAAAUUUCCUAGACCUCAGUGAAAUA